UUUUAAUAUAAUGUUUACACUAAAAAGUAUUUAUUUUCUAGUAGAAGCAAUUUCUUACAGAGAAUUUACUUGUAUUCAUUAACCUUCAAACGCCCUGAACAUUUUGAAUUCCACAAAUAAUUGAAAUAAUAAAAUAUUUUUUAACUUUGUAAACAUUUUACGUUUAAUAGAACUUAAUGGAGUAAUACAAACAAUAAAUUAUUAUUAGUUUUAUAAUACUUGUAUGCCUACUUAUUGAGGGACUUUUCAGGCUGCAUUCCUCAAAAACAUUACAGAUGGCGCUGUACAGAUUUUCCUUCGUUUAACCUUCUAAUUUCAUGGAUAACAGACAUGCAUUAUCUUUGCUUUUGAGUAUAAAUGAUGACCCUUUUUUAUUACACCCAGCCACAAUUACAUCUUCCACCCAUUAUUAUUCUGAUCAAAAUAAAGAGAAGCAAUAUAGGUAGCAACGUAAUUCUAUACAUACAUAAACUGCCUAUAUACGUCCCACUGCUGGGCACAGGCCUCCCCUCAAUCAACCGGAGGGGGUAUGGAGCAUACUCCACCACGCUGCUCCACUGCGGGUUGGUGGAGCCAUUUGGGCUAGUAGCCGCGACCAAUGGCUUAACGUGCCUUCCGAAGCUCUGAAUCAUCUUACUUUCUCGGGCAAUCCGGUUAUUCAGUCCUUUUCAAAAUGAUUUCGACAAUGUCCCCAUCGGGAAUCGAAGCCGCACCAGAUCGCGAGCCCAACGCUCUAACCACUAGACCAUGGAGACUGUUAUGUCAAUUUUGUAGCAGUGUAUUUGAAAGAUCUACCUAUGACGUGAACAGUCAUGAGCAAUGUAAUGUACCCACUUUAGGACUCUGUCGCACUAACAUAUUUGCCAUUUAGUGAGACUUACAGUUCAAUUUGUCAAAAAAGUUAAUGUGACAUGGUACCAAAGUGUAUACAUAUUAAUGCUCGUGACCGAACAUGUAUUUUGAUUCAUAUUUCGCCGGCAAAAGGUUUUGUUUCGUGUAAGACGCGAGUGUGGAACGAUAUAGUUGUGUGCAUCGGUUGGUGCCACUGCAAAGUGGAUAAUAUAUAUAAAUAUAUAUACGAAUAAAUAAGUAAUUUUUGAAGCACU